AUUGAACGCUGGCGGCAGGCCUAACACAUGCGAGUCGAACGGUAACAGAAAGCAGCUUGCUGCUUUGCUGACGAGUGGCGGACGGGUGAGUAAUGUCUGGGAAACUGCCUGAUGGAGGGGGAUAACUACUGGAAACGGUAGCUAAUACCGCAUAACGUCGCAAGACCAAAGAGGGGGACCUUCGGGCCUCUUGCCAUCGGAUGUGCCCAGAUGGGAUUAGCUAGUAGGUGGGGUAACGGCUCACCUAGGCGACGAUCCCUAGCUGGUCUGAGAGGAUGACCAGCCACACUGGAACUGAGACACGGUCCAGACUCCUACGGGAGGCAGCAGUGGGGAAUAUUGCACAAUGGGCGCAAGCCUGAUGCAGCCAUGCCGCGUGUAUGAAGAAGGCCUUCGGGUUGUAAAGUACUUUCAGCGGGGAGGAAGGGAGUAAAGUUAAUACCUUUGCUCAUUGACGUUACCCGCAGAAGAAGCACCGGCUAACUCCGUG
rnacentral:rRNA from 1 species